CGGGUGAGUAGCACGUGGAUAACCUACCUAUAAGACUGGGAUAACUUCGGGAAACCGGAGCUAAUACCGGAUAACAUGUUGAACCGCAUGGUUCAACAGUGAAAGACGGUCUUGCUGUCACUUAUAGAUGGAUCCGCGUCGCAUUAGCUAGUUGGUAAGGUAACGGCUUACCAAGGCAACGAUGCGUAGCCGACCUGAGAGGGUGAUCGGCCACACUGGAACUGAGACACGGUCCAG
rnacentral:rRNA from 1 species